GUUAGACACGACAGUCACUUACGGCACAAGGCCCUCUGCACUCGCCGGCUCUUCAUGGCGGUCCGGUAGGCUGAGAAACGCACGUUGUUCAGUCUGCAGGCAAGAAGCAGAAUCCAUUCCAGACCUCAGGAGCCGUGUGGUUUGCUAGUUCUCAGAAUCAGCACUAAACCGUUCCCUUCAAUAUGAUGAUUUGGAGAGGGGAAUAUUACACAGGAUAUAAAUCCGGGAAUAAAUAUGAUCUGUCGCCUCGCUUCUGCCCAGCGGAGCACGACACGCGAUGGAAAGACUUGUGGAGGAAAGCUGAGAUCGUCAUAAAUCUUCAUUU